rnacentral:rRNA from 1 species
UGCUAAUACCGGAUGAGACUGUGGUUCGGGAGGACGAUAGUGGAAGGGAGCCUCUUCCAAUGAAAGCUUCCGCACGAGGACGGGCCUGCGUCCUAUCAGCUAGUUGGCAGGGUAAAAGCCUACCAAGGCGACGACGGGUAGCUGGUCUGAGAGGAUGAUCAGCCACACUGGCACUGGAAUACGGGCCAGACUCCUACGGGAGGCAGCAGUGAGGAAUUUUGCGCAAUGGGAGCAAUCCUGACGCAGCAACGCCGCGUGGGCGAUGAAGGCCUUCGGGUCGUAAAGCCCUGUCGGGCGGGAAGAAAGAUUGAUGGUCGAAUAGGCUGUCAAGUUGACGGUACCGCCAGAGGAAGCACCGGCUAACUCCGUGCCAGCAGCCGCGGUAA